rnacentral:tRNA from 1 species
AUGUAGCUCAGUAGUACAGCACUUGUCUGGCAUGUUUGAAGUCCUGGGUUCAAUCCCCAGCAU